UUCAUAGGAUAGACAAUAGCAAUAUCAUCACAGAUGUUUCUUCAUGGGGAGAGACAGCCGUGUUCACCUACAAGUAAAAUAUGAAAAAGAAAAAAAGGGCAUCCAAAUCAUCAAGGAUGGUCAGAAGUAGAAUAAUUUUGGAGUAAGCAUCUCUGGAAACAGGCAAAGAGAGCAAAGUGAAUAGUGUGAUUUGCUUAGAGGACAAUGCUGCUACAAAAACCUGUUCCACUCCAAGGCCAACUGCAGUUUUGAGCCAUAUCCAAAGAGGGAAAAGCAGAGACUGAUUUAAACUGGCCUGUGUACUAUCCCAAACUCACCAAUCAAAUAAGUCAUUUCCUCCCCCAGGAGAGGGGAACCAAGGAUGUCCUUCCGCAUGAAAAUGUCAGAACGAGAAAGAGAAGAAAAGGAAAUUGUUGAAGAAUCUAGGAGUGUUUGAAAGAGGAAGAGACUGCAUUGUGCUCCCCAGAUCAAUGGUUGAUAAGCUGAAGUUGUCCUCACACCAUUAAGAGACACAGUGGUAAAUCACAUGAUAGGUGUCACAGGAAGUUAAACUGUAUAAACAGAGAGACCAGUGCCUACUUUUUUUUUUUUUUUUGAGACGGAGUCUCGCUCUGUCGCCCAGGCUAGAGUGCAGUGGCGCGAUCUCUGCUCACUGCAAGCUCCGCCUGCCGGGUUCACGCCACUCUCCUGCCUCAGCCUCCGGAGUAGCUGGGACUACAGGCACCGGCCACCACGCCCGGCUAAUUUUUUGUAUUUUUAGUAGCGACGGGGUUUCACCGUGGUCUCCAUCUCCUGACCUCGUGAUCCGCCCGCCUCGGCCUCCCAAAGUGCUGGUAUUACAGGUGUCAGCCACCGCGCCUGACCAACAGUAAAAAAGGAUGAGGUGAACUGCCUUGGUCAGACUCUGAGAAAUACUCACAGUUCCUCCUUCCUCCUGGCCAAGUCCUUGAAGAAUCAAAGCAGCAAAUAAACAAGGUGGAACAAGAGUGAAAAUGAGAAUGCAUUUAUCUUCUCCACUGAACGACCCCAAGUCCUGUGUCAGGGCUGAGGUAAGGAGAGAUGAGAGUCUUUGAGCUGAAUGUGUGAUUGAAUCUUUGAUUUAAACUAGCUGGAACUCUUGAAUACUAAAAUUCAAUCUCAGGUAUUAAAAUUUGUAUUUUCUCAUAAUAAAAGUUAACUAUAAAUCUGUGGGAUCUGUUGAGGGCACAGAACACUUCCAACAAAGUAUAUUUGAGAGCAACAUAAGUGAGAAAAAUAGACAUGUUUUGUUUGUACACCUGAAGUCCAGUCUGUCAAUAAGUUGGCUACUUAUUUUCAUUAUCACAAAAUUUUAUCUAUCAAUUCCACCCACCUAUUUUAGUAAGGCCUUAGAUUUUAUGACCUAUCAUUGCUUUCUCUUAUAAAAAUACCAAAUUAAGACUACUCUGUAAGGGUUUUUGUUUGUUUGUUUGUUUAUUUGUUUGUUUGUUUGUUUUGGUUUUUAUAUCCCAAC
rnacentral:lncRNA from 1 species